CAGCCGCCGCGGUAAUACGUAGGGUGCGAGCGUUAAUCGGAAUUACUGGGCGUAAAGCGUGCGCAGGCGGCUUUGUAAGACAGGCGUGAAAUCCCCGGGCUCAACCUGGGAAUGGCGCUUGUGACUGCAAAGCUAGAGUGCGGCAGAGGGAGAUGGAAUUCCGCGUGUAGCAGUGAAAUGCGUAGAUAUGCGGAGGAACACCGAUGGCGAAGGCAAUCCCCUGGGCCUGCACUGACGCUCAUGCACGAAAGCGUGGGGAGCGAACAGGAUUAGAUACCCGUGUAGUCCCUGUCUCUUAUAC
rnacentral:rRNA from 1 species